rnacentral:RNase_P_RNA from 1 species
AAAGCAAAUCAGGAUGGCCGCUCCGAUGCCUUUGGCGUCGGAGAGGAAAGUCCGAGCUCCGAAGGAUAAUGCAUCCCGGUAAUGCGGGACCUCUGCCUGAAAACGGCGGAAGAGGAUCAGAGCUACAGAGACGAGUCGCCCCGCCUAUGGCGGGGCGGGUGAAACGAGCAAUCUCUGCAUGGAGCAAUGCCAAAUAGGGGAAGAUGAGGUGAUCCGCCUCGCUAUCAUUCCCGGGUAGGCUGCCAGAUAUCCCGCCGCAAGGCGGGAUGUUAGUCAAAUGGCCAUCCCCCUGUCAAAAGGGGAACAGAACUCGGCUUAUGAUUUGCUUUAUUU